CCUACGGGAGGCAGCAGUGGGGAAUUUUGGACAAUGGGCGCAAGCCUGAUCCAGCCAUGCCGCGUGUGGGAAGAAGGCCUUCGGGUUGUAAACCACUUUUGUCAGGGAAGAAACGGCUUUUUCUAAUACAGAGAGCUAAUGACGGUACCUGAAGAAUAAGCACCGGCUAACUACGUGCCAGCAGCCGCGGUAAUACGUAGGGUGCAAGCGUUAAUCGGAAUUACUGGGCGUAAAGCGUGCGCAGGCGGCUUUGCAAGACAGAUGUGAAAUCCCCGGGCUCAACCUGGGAACUGCAUUUGUGACUGCAUGGCUAGAGUACGGUAGAGGGGGAUGGAAUUCCGCGUGUAGCAGUGAAAUGCGUAGAUAUGCGGAGGAACACCGAUGGCGAAGGCAAUCCCCUGGACCUGUACUGACGCUCAUGCACGAAAGCGUGGGGAGCAAACAGGAUUAGAUACCCUGGUAGUCCACGCCCUAAACGAUGUCAACUGGUUGUUGGAACGGCUUGUNUGUNUAGUACGAGANACGCGNGAGUAGACGCGNGGNGGACGGCGCGAGUAGAAGUAAAGUAGAGUAGAGCGNGAGAGUAGACGACGGACGACGACGAGGGGAGGAGG
rnacentral:rRNA from 1 species